CUAGGUUUGAAGAAAAGGCCCAAGUGGAUCCCCUUAGUGCUCUGAAAUAUUUACAAAAUGAUCUUUAUAUAACUGUGGAUCAUUCAGACCCAGAAGAGACAAAAGAGGCAUCCUUGUUCAUCUAGCAAUAUCUGAACUGCAGUGCAUUUGCCUUCCACUCACAGAAUUCGUGCUGAUUAUAUGUAGUUCUGACCCUUAGGUCUCUUUCCGUGUUAGCUCCUGCCUUGCUUUGGCUUUGUAAUAGCAGUAUCAAGCUGUGCCCGGCAUGCUUGAGCAUUGACACAGGUGUCAGAUUUAAUGUUGAAUCACUUUCAGGCUCCAGGUUCAUUGUACUUUCAAGCAAUAGAGGCUGCAUGUCUUCAGCACCAUAACAAAGAGAUACUCUUUCAUAGUUUCGUACUAUAAAAUUAAGUCCUAAGUCUCUCAAUAUUGAUUAUGGCCCUUCAGUAGGUAGAGAAUCUGCAGGACAUGCUUUAGAACCCCCAUGAAGGGGGACAGUUAAUUGUCUUUCCUUGAGUUUUCAGUCAAUUCAUGACACUGUGCAAAUAGGAGAAAUAAUUAUAGUUUUGCCAAGUGGCAGAAUAUGUUUGAUUUAAUCUUUUAUGACUUAUAACUGUACUUAGUUGUGAAGAGUCCAUUAAUGUUAAUUUUGUUAUGCCAUGCAUUUGAGAGUUAUGCAUAGAUUUCCUUGUAUUUUCUCCAUAUUCUAUGUAAAAUAGCUGUAACUGGGAACA
rnacentral:lncRNA from 1 species